AAAAUGUUGAUGUUACUAAUCGAUCUAAUGUUCAUUGGGAGCAUGUUCCAAAUUCUCGGUGCUGCAACUGAAAAGGCCCUGUAGCCAUAUGUCUUUAAAUUAUAAUGUUGUUCUGCAAAACGCCAUUUGUCCGAGGACGAUCGAAGACACCUUGCCGGCUGAUGGUGGCAUAAAAGUUCUUGCAAAUAUGUCGGAGCCAUGUUCUUCAUUAUUUUAAAGCACAUCAAGUUCAUCUUAAAAAUUAUUCUUUGCUAUACUGGCAACCAGUGAAGCAUCCUGAGAGGUGGAGUUAUAUGAUCGUAU